rnacentral:misc_RNA from 1 species
GAUGAAGAACGCAGCGAAAUGCGAUACUUGGUGUGAAUUGCAGAAUCCCGUGAACCAUCGAGUCUUUGAACGCAAGUUGCGCCCGAAGCCAUUAGGCCGAGGGCACGCCUGCCUGGGCGUCACACGUCGUUGCCCCCCAUCUACUCCUUCGGGAUUGCGGGGGGCGGAUGAUGGCCUCCCGUGCGCCUCGUCGCGCGGUUGGCAUAAAUGCCAAGUCCUCGGCGACGCACGCCACGACAAUCGGUGGUUGCGAAACCUCGGUUGCCCGUCGUGUGCGGUCGUCGCGCAUCGAGGGCUCGAAAAAAUUGCCGGGCUCCGGCUCGGCUUUCAACGCGACCCCAGGUCAGGCGGGGUUACCCGCUGAAUUUAAGCAUAUCAUAAGCGGAGGA